rnacentral:rRNA from 1 species
UGGGGAAUUUUGGACAAUGGGGGCAACCCUGAUCCAGCCAUUCCGCGUGAGUGAAGAAGGCCUUCGGGUUGUAAAGCUCUUUUGUCCGGGAAGAAACGGUUUCACCUAAUACGUGAGACUACUGACGGUACCGGAAGAAUAAGGACCGGCUAACUACGUGCCAGCAGCCGCGGUAAUACGUAGGGUCCAAGCGUUAAUCGGAAUUACUGGGCGUAAAGCGUGCGCAGGCGGUUGUGUAAGCCAGAUGUGAAAUCCCCGGGCUUAACCUGGGAAUGGCAUUUGGGACUGCACGGCUAGAGUACGGCAGAGGGGACUAGAAUUCCUGGUGUAGCAGUGAAAUGCGUAGAUAUCAGGAGGAAUACCGAUGGCGAAGGCAGGUCCCUGGGCUGAUACUGACGCUCAUGCACGAAAGCGUGGGGAGCAAACAGG